GGGGUGCAGCAGGCGCGAAAACUUUACAAUGCACGAAAGUGUGAUAGGGGAAUNCGAAGUGCUUAUGUUAAACAUAGGCUUUUCUCAUGUCUAAAUAACUUGAGGAAUAAGGGAUGGGCAAGACCGGUGCCAGCAGCCGCGGUAACACCGGCGUCCCGAGUGGGAAUCGCAUAUUAGGUCUAAAGCGUCCGUAGUUGGUCUUGUGCAUCUCUCGUGAAAUCGAUUCGCUUAACGGNUCGGCGUGCGGGAGACACGGCAAGACUUGGAACCGGGAGGGGUCAGAAGUAUUUCUNCGGGAGCGGUAAAAUGUGAUAAUCGUAGGAGGACUACCUGUGGCGGAGGCGUCUGACUAGAACGGAUUCGACAAUCAGGGACGAAGGCUAGGGGAGCAAACCGGAUUAGAUACCCGAGUAGUCCUAGCAGUAAACAUCUGUGAGNGAGGUGUUGCGCAUCCAAUAGGGAUGUGCAGUAUCGCAGCGAAGGCAAUAA
rnacentral:rRNA from 1 species